rnacentral:misc_RNA from 1 species
CCUGCAUUUAUUAUCAACUCAAUAUACAAAUAUAUGAUCUCAAUUAUUUAAUAUGUGGAUUCAUCAUGCAUAAUGCAUAGACAAAUAUUUUCUGAGAAAGAAAGUUGAUAACGCCCCAACAGAGGCUGCAUACUUGCAUUUGGCUAUUGAUCAGUAACAGCAUUGAAGAGAUGGAGGAGGACGAGUAAUUCAUCUGCUUGUAAUUUUGUGGAUUUUCAAGUAAAUAUCCAAUCCAUUCUUCUAGUUGGUGUCAUAUAACAUAGAUCUUCAGAUAGUCCCUUGUAAAUUUCCCAUUAUCCCAAAAUGUUGCUUGCCUGGAAACAUCAUUAGAGACAAGCUCCUUUUUCUCCUCCAUUCAAUCCAUUAUUCUAUUAACAUUUAAUUGCAGAUUUAAGAUACAAUUUUAAGAGUUUCAAGGAAGGGUUUUGACUCUUUAGAGGAAAGAUAGUUGAGGUAGUCCCUUACACUACUUCCCUUAUAGUUUGGAUGCUCCCUGUCCACCAAUUCCAUUGCAGGCUCCACCACCUCAUCCAUUGCAAAGCUAUGGAAACUGGCAACAGAUAACCUUCUUUCCUCUGAACCAGGUACUGCUCGGUGUAUAACACUCUUGUAUUUGCCAUUGCUAAGGACCUGAAGGUGAUCCCCAACUAGGACAUGCAAGGAACCUUUAGGUCCUGGGGCAGCGUUCCAACAACCAUCACUAGGGUUCAUCACCUGGAGGCCAGGACUGCUCUGUACAAGAAGAGUGAUUAUAGUAUGGUCCGUAUGUGGUGCUAUUCCUGUCCAGAUGUUGUUCAAUAGACAAGCUGAUUCAUAACAGUUUAUACCCAUCAUCUGCAUUCCUUGUUCAAUUUUGUUUUGCCAAAAUGUUGAACUCAAGCUCAAACUUUCCAUUAUAGCUCCACAUACUUGACUGCUCAAUGUCCUCAUUUCUAUGGCUUAUGUUUUCAUUUUUGCCCUGUUUCAUAAGCAGGUGGGCUCAAGGUAAUAUAGGUAGCAAAAGUCUCCCUCUAAAGGGAAGAAAUGAUUAGGGCUUGGUGGAAAAAGGUAUAUAAGAGUGAGAGUGUAGGAGUUAUACUUUCGUUGUUGUGUAGCUCAUUCGAUCUAAAAAUACCACUGAAUAGUCCUAUUCAAUAUAUGCCUAGGCAGAAAUUAAAAUAGCAUAACUUUCCAUUCUUGAAGUUUAUGUAUAUAAGACAAGCAAGUACUAAUUGAAAUGAUCUUUAAAAUUGUAGGAUCUCGAGUUCGAAUCUUAAUUGAAACCGAAUUUAAAAAGAAAAACGUUAAAAAUUUAAGAUACCUGUAAUCUGGUGGAUUUCCAGGCCAAGAUCCUAUCCAAUCUCCUAUUGGAUGGGCAUAAAGCUUCAGAAAUUCCCUUGUGAGUUUCCCAUUUUCUUUAUCAUCCUGAAUAAAUGUCUCAAAUCUUACUGGCUUGUAGACAUCAUUAGACCGCAGCUCCUUUUUCUGUUCUAUUGGCAUGUCAAAAAAUCUUGAGUUUGCGUCCAUGACAUCUUCUAUCAAUGAUUCACCUAUCCCAUGAUUAAUGAUCUACAUGUCCAUGUCCAAAAAAAAUAUAUAGUGAAACUUACAUAAAAAAUAUCAGGGGUAAAAAAGUGUAACUGGUUAGGAGGACAAGAGCUGAGGAAUCAGAUAAGGAAAUUAAAGAUUACAUUGAAGAAACCAAAAUCUUGACAAGCUUUGCCAAUUUCUUUGAUGACCUCACUCUUUAUCCGAGAAUCUUGGUUCAAGAGUAUUGAGAAAUCAAUGAUGGGUGCACUUGAAAGCUGGAUCGGAUAAUCAUCAUUUAUCAAACUUCCCAUAUCAGAUUUGAAACGAAGACAAAACAAGGUUUACUUCUUCAACUGGUUCCCACCUGACCUAAAAAACACCUACCUUGAAAAGGUCAAGUUCUCGAACGUAAGAUUAGCUAAUAUAUUAUUAAGUAAAAUAGUACAAGUUGUUUUAUUUUGAGUAGAACCUGUUGGAAAUUAAAAUAGUACAACUUUUUUUUUAUUCUGACAAUCAGAGAUAUUGUAUUAUUGCAAAUCCAAAAAUUACAAAUCCAUUAUGAGUUGAAGAAGCAAGCUAAGGAACUUGUCAGGAACUGGCUUACUGAGCUACUGAACUUAAUAGACCUAUCCCCAGAUGGAACAGUCGGUAAAACUCCCCUGUUAGAUCGUCAGCUGCGUCCAGCUAAGCCCUUAUGAAGGAUUAUGGAUGCUUGGCACCCACUGACUCCCAAUCUGGGGCAAGGCGCUUGUUGUGCAUUGGAGGGCGUAGAGAUUAUAUUUUAGUUGGUUUAAUUAGUCGGAAGAGCAUAAAUAGGACUUAUCACAUGUACUUCAGUGCAUAAGAGAAUAAGAUUCUUUCACUUUUCCUCUGCUCAAGUUGACUUUCUCACAUGGUAUCAAGAGUGGGAAAGUUAGCUUUCAAAUGGGCUUUUUUUU